rnacentral:rRNA from 1 species
UUUCCGUAGGUGAACCUGCGGAAAUCAUUA